CUACCAGGGUAUCUAAUCCUGUUCGCUCCCCACACUUUCGCUCCUCAGCGUCAGGUAAUGCCCAGAGAACCGCCUUCGCCACCGGUGUUCCUCCUGAUAUCUGCGCAUUUCACCGCUACACCAGGAAUUCCAUUCUCCCCUGCAUACCUCUAGUCUGCCCGUAUCGGAAGCAGGCUCAGGGUUAAGCCCUGAGUUUUCACUCCCGACGCGACAAACCGCCUACGAGCCCUUUACGCCCAAUAAUUCCGGACAACGCUUGCACCCUACGUAUUACCGCGGCUGCUGGCAC
rnacentral:rRNA from 1 species